AUGAGUUUACUGCCUCUCUCAAGGGCAGUUGGUGCGGAUGGGACUCUCUCCCGCCUGGUUUCCAAUUUCCAGUUAAAGAAUUGGUGGCGAGCCUGAGU
ncrna:unclassified sequences wcaG RNA